CCAAAAUAAGUGUCAGAGGUUUAAAAAGUGCAAAUAUCCUUUAAGUAACAAUGUUCUUAUCAUCUGCACCUGUCAGAUAAGUGGUCAGGUGGCCAUGGAAAUCGGCUGGAAUGGAAGUGCUUCUCACCUGUUCGUUGCUCAGACAUUGUUCCUCAUGUUACGAGCUCUGAUCCUUCCUGUGUAUCAGCCAAGCAUCCUCUCCGGUACCGCAAGAAGUCAAUAGUCUGCCGUGUUAACCUCUGGAGAUGUUCCCCUCAACACUGCCCCCUUAAGGGACGACUUUAGGUCGGGAGUAAACACUCUGGCACAAUCUUCAAUCCUGCCAUCACACAUUCCCUGGUAGAAGCAGAGGCAGGGGACACAGAGUUGGACUCUUUCAUCAUCCAGGCUGAAGUCACCGAGGUGGUUAAAAAUCUCCACGGAGGCAGGGCUUCGGGGUUGGAUGA